AACUUUCGGCAAUGGAUCACUUGGCUCUCGCAUCGAUGAAGAACGCAGCGAAAUGCGAUAAGUAUUGUGAAUUGCAGAAUUCAGUGAAUCAUCGAAUCUUUGAACGCACCUUGCGCUCCUUGGUAUUCCGAGGAGCAUGCCUGUUUGAGUGUCAUUAAAUUCUCAACCUUUAUCAGCUUUUGCUGAUGAUGGCUUGGAUAUGGGGGUUUUAUUUUGCUGGCUUCUUCACAGAUGGUCAGCUCCCCUUAAAUGCAUUAGCUGGUGCCCCGCGUGGACUGUCUAUUGGUGUGAUAAUUAUCUACGCCGUGGACAUCUGCAAUCAUAUGGGUUUGCACUGCUUCCAACCGUCUGUUCAUUCAGACAAUACAUGACAAUUUGACCUCAAAUCAGGUAGGACUACCCGCUGAACUUAAGCAUAUCAAUAAGCGGAGGCU
rnacentral:misc_RNA from 1 species